GCCAACACCCCCCUUUUUUAAUUAUCACAGCUCACCACUCUACAUGCAUAGGACGAAGGAUUCGAUUUGAUGGUUCAAAUACGGAUCUCCUGUAACCACACCAGGGUAGUGUGUCUCAUUUCAAUAUCUCCGCUUGGGAUUGUGAGGAUUCGUCAUUUUUUAAAUCUUUGCCAAUGCACGCCACCAUUUAGCAUGCUAGGCCUAUAGCAUGCCUGGUACGCUAAUGAGAAGUGGGGGCAAUCUCCAUUUUAAUAGAACCGGUUGGGGCUGAUGUAGCUCUGCGGUCAUUAACUAGACACUUCAGCGAAACAACGGGGUGGAUGCCGAAGUGGAGCAACGCAGUGAAAGGUGUAGCGAGGCACGGUGGGGGGUUCGUCUGACCCAAUAGGCCCACAAAGCAACCCUCUCAGACCCGGUCCUCCCUCUUUUCUGCCUAUUCCAAAAAAAAACGCCUAACAGCGGAGUCUGGCGUAAAGAAAGUCUAGACGGAUCCACUGCACAAAGGGCACAGCAGCUGGAAGAUGUGGGACACAUCUAAAAUUAUGUUUGAUUAAUAAUGGAAAGGAGUAUAAUCCUCCUCAGGUUCCAAGUGGGGGAAAAAAAUCAUAUUAUUAAAAAUAAAGCAUAAGUGUGUUUGGUUAUGCAAAAGCUAGACUAUAGUAUUUUAUUUUGUCUUUAUGUAUACUACUGGACUGGGUAGUUUGAAUCAAAGGAUAUGACACCAAGGAGAGAUCACAGGGAUAAGAAGGAAAAAAAUGUAUGUGAAAGUUGAAUGUGUACUCCACGACCUAGUUACAUUGUUUCAUCUAAAAAUAAAACCCACAAUAAAAAGCCUAAUGAAAAGAACAUGCUAACAGUGACACACAAACCAGAUGUGGACGUGAGCAUAAGAAGCUUCUGGUACAUUAAUGGGAGGUACUGUAUUCUUGCUCAUUUCAGAUUGAGAUCAGUUCACUCUUGCAGUACUAAUUUGGUAAUAUGGUUUGGUAUUUGUUUUAAUUAAUUUUGUAAGAAAGCUUGGACAUUUGUGUUCUUCAGUGUAAUAGUAAAGUUACCUCUACAGCUAA